rnacentral:rRNA from 1 species
UACGGGGGGGGCAAGCGUUGCUCGGAAUCACUGGGCGUAAAGGGUGCGUAGGCGGGUCUUUAAGUCAGGGGUGAAAUCCUGGAGCUCAACUCCAGAACUGCCUUUGAUACUGGCAAUCUCGAGUUCGGGAGAGGUGAGUGGAACUGCGAGUGUAGAGGUGAAAUUCGUAGAUAUUCGCAAGAACACCAGUGGCGAAGGCGGCUCACUGGCCCGAUACUGACGCUGAGGCACAAAAGCGUGGGAGCAACAGGG